rnacentral:lncRNA from 1 species
GUAAAUUUAGAUGUUGUAAACACAGGGUAACAGGGCAAGAAUCCAACUCAAACAAGAAACGGAACAUAAUAAAUCUGAAACAAGCAUCAUUGCAGGUGACUGUACCUCUUUAUAAAUUAGCUCCCUUACAUCCUCUUUUGUCAAUUUCCUCCUUUCAAAUUCAAAUUCAAGUUUUGAAAUGGGUUUCCUGGAUGGUUCAUAGUUCAAGUUUGCCAACCCCCGAAAGUACGGGUCAGCUAAUGCCUUCAGAAAGAGAUUCAUUGCCAGGCCCAUGAAGGAGACAUAAAGUCAGUUCAAACAGAUUCAAGCAGGUAACAAAAUAUAAAAGAAAGCAACAAAAAUAC